rnacentral:rRNA from 1 species
CAGUAGCCGCGGGAAUACGAAGGGUGCAAGCGUUACUCGGAAUUACUGGGCGUAAAGCGUGCGUAGGUGGUGGUUUAAGUCCGUUGUGAAAGCCCUGGGCUCAACCUGGGAAUUGCAGUGGAUACUGGAUCACUAGAGUGUGGUAGAGGAUAGUGGAAUUUCCGGUGUAGCAGUGAAAUGCGUAGAGAUCGGAAGGAACAUCUGUGGCGAAGGCGACUAUCUGGGCCAACACUGACACUGAGGCACGAAAGCGUGGGGAGCAAACAGGAUUAGAUACCCCGGUAGUCCCUGUCUCUUAUAA